CCCCGGAAAAUACGUCGAAGUUUGGUUGUAGUACGAAUCCUUGCCUAAUUCGAUGAGCCUUACUGAAUUCAAAUAGGACUUGUUUAGGCAAACUUUGGCAAGGAGACCUGGAUUUGUUCGGGUUCGGUGUGCCCAAGUCGGCUCUUGCGCUGGCCGGCCUGAGGCCUCGCCGCCUGGUGAACGAUAUUUGCGCCGGCCGGGCUACGGCGCUGCGGUUCGGGAUCGGCGGCGCAAGUUGACGCCAGCGUGGGUCCUCGGCUCGAGCUCCCACCCACCUGAACCCGACCUCCUCAUCCCCUUCUCGCUCCAGCCCUCGGUGGCGGUAGCGACAUGGAGGACGGGAACGAGAGGUGCGCUACGCCUGCCAGUCCGAUCCCGGAGCACGCUAGUUCCUGCGGCGAUGGCGAGGAUGCUGACUUAUUACACAGCUCGUCGUCCGCAAAGGAUGGCGACGACGGUGGCUCCUCGUUAUGCGAUUCAUCCUCGGUAGAAGAGGACGACGACGGUGGCUCGUCGUCAGCAGAGGAUGACGAUGACGACGACGGCGUCGUCGUCAGAGGAAGAGGUCCACGAUGGCGGCUCGUCCGUGGGGACGGAGCUGGCUCUUGAGCUAGCCCGGUGGGAGGUGGAGUGGGUGCCGGAACCGGAGCCGACGGAGGAGGACAAGGCGGUGGAAGCUCUCCACCUGGUCCUCUGCCGGCAGUUCACCGAGCACGACCCCAAGUUGGGCUACCCCGUCCCUACCCGCUUGUGCCAGUUCAACAUUGCCUUGUUCGACUUUGAGAAAGAAUCUAUGGCUGGCCUUGGUCAACCGCUUUGCACCCUCGAUCUAUCUGACUGGAUGUCAUUGGAGGAUUCCAUCAACGUGGUUUCCUUGAAGGUAGCUGAAUCUGUGGGCUACCCGAUCAGCGUGUUCGGCACCGUGCUCGCGAGGGAUCAGGUUGACUACAAGUGCGUCUAUCUUUUCAGGCGGGACAGGGAGGAUCCUCAAGUCGUUACAUCACCGGAUGAUGCGUUGACUUUGACAGGCCCGUGCCAAGGACUCGCUGCAACAUCCCACACGUUUUUCGAGGUCAAUCUGAAGAUCAGGAGCGACGACGGCGACAAGGAUUUCAGCGAAGGUGUAGGGAGUGUUUGGUUGGGGCCAAGGCCAUGCAGCUUCACCGGCAGAGUGACUGCUUGGACUAGUGGAAAGAGAACCACAUCGUCCUGCAUGACAGUGACGCCCCGGGCACCGUUGCGGCGGUCGGAGACGGCGGGUCCGUUCCGUUAUCUCGCUGCGUGAUCGCUGUCCCUGUGGACGAGGAGCUUGUGCUUGCUGUUUGUGUUCAGCGGGAUGGCGAUGGCGAGGCUGCGGCUGUGCCAUUGGAGUUUGAGCUCACUCUAGGGCACGGCGAUGGCGAAAGGGUCUGCGAGGAAGGUUCCUGCGAGCUGCGAGUGAGGGUCGCUUGGUCGCGCAUGCUCAGCAGCAGGCGCCGCAGGGUGUUUGAGAUGGUCGGAGAUUCCCGGGUGCUGGUGUGAUGGUCGGAGACUCUUUUGUCAAUCAGUUAGAUACCUUUGUUUGUUUGUUUGUCAGUUGAAGUUCCCUUCUGUCUA